UCUCCGUUGGUGAACCAGCGAAGGGAUCAUUACAGAGUUUUCACAACUCCCAACCCUUGCGAACCGUACCCAUUCUGUUCUCGUUGCUUCCGGCGGGGCGGACGGGGGGGCCCGAAACGGCCUCCCCGCCCCGCCCGCCGGGGGCGGCGGGCCCUACGAACCUUUAUAUCGCAACCACCAGAAACCGUCUGAGAAAACAAACAAAAUAAUCAAAACUUUCAACAACGGAUCUCUUGGCUCUG
rnacentral:misc_RNA from 1 species